AGCGCCAGCCGGAAGCCCCGCCCCCUCGAAGCGCCGCGGAUCGGAGGAGCCACCGCUCUUCACUCCAGGCUUUGCCCGGCCGGGACAGCACUGCGGACCCCCUGCGGCGCUGUCCACCCAAAUGACAGCUGCGACCUCGUCCAAGCCGGUGACUUAACUCGGGCCCGUUACCCGUUCCCACUUUGUUGCCAAGUCUCCAGCCUGGAAAAUAAACUGGCUUCAGGUAUCCUGUUUAGAUCCUUAAAAUGAGGAACGGCAGGAACACACACAGCGCUGCCACCUCACACCUUUUCACUUCAUCCUGACGAAGCUGCGGUUCAGUUCGGAUGUGUGAGGUUUUGGUCUGAUGGCACUCACCCAGCACUUGGGCAGAAAAUAAGACCCUGCACUGAUGGAUCCGCUGGUGCCACCCAGAUCACUAAACUAGCUCAGGUGAUCUUGUGGCCCCCAUCCAGGAACCAACUCAGAGCAAGAAGACAGCUUCAACUCCCUAUGCCUUCAUCUCUGAUGUGACCUAUCAACACGCCCCACUCCCUGGCCCCCACCCGCUAAGUUAUCCUUCAAAAAACUCCAGUCCCCACAUUUUCUGGGAGACUGAUUUGAGUAAUAAACUCUGGUCUCCCGUUCUGA